rnacentral:rRNA from 1 species
AAGCGAGCCUGCGAAGGCAAGCGGAUCUCUUAAAGCUGUUCUCAGUUCGGACCGCAGUCUGCAACUCGACUGCACGAAGCUGGAAUCGCUAGUAAUCGCGAAUCAGAAUGUCGCGGUGAAUACGUUCCCGGGUCUUGUACACACCGCCCGUCACACCAUGGGAGUCAGCAACGCCCGAAGUCAGUGACCUAACCGAAAGGGAGGAGCUGCCGAAGGCGGGGCCGGUAACUGGGGUGAAGUCGUAACAAGGUAUC